rnacentral:rRNA from 1 species
UAGCUAGUUGGUGAGGUAAAGGCUUACCAAGGCGACGAUCUGUAGCGGGUCUGAGAGGGUGAUCCGCCACACUGGAACUGAGACACGGUCCAGACUCCUACGGGAGGCAGCAGUGGGGAAUUUUGGACAAUGGGGGCAACCCUGAUCCAGCCAUGCCGCGUGAGUGAAGAAGGCCUUCGGGUUGUAAAGCUCUUUCGGCCGGGAAGAAAUCGCAUGGGCCAAUACCCUGUGUGGAUGACGGUACCGGAAUAAGAAGCACCGGCUAACUACGUGCCAGCAGCCGCGGUAAUACGUAGGGUGCGAGCGUUAAUCGGAAUUACUGGGCGUAAAGCGUGCGCAGGCGGUUUUGUAAGACAGGCGUGAAAUCCCCGGGCUUAACCUGGGAACUGCGUUUGUGACUGCAAGGCUAGAGUACGGCAGAGGGGGGUGGAAUUCCACGUGUAGCAGUGAAAUGCGUAGAGAUGUGGAGGAACACCAAUGGCGAAGGCAGCCCCCUGGGUCGAUACUGACGCUCAUGCACGAAAGCGUGGGUAGCAAACAGGAUUAGAUACCCUGGUAGUCCACGCCCUAAACUAUGUCAACUAGGUGUUGGGUGGGUAAAACCAUUUAGUACCGUAGCUAACGCGUGAAGUUGACCGCCUGGGGAGUACGGCCGCAAGGUUAAAACUCAAAGGAAUUGACGGGGACCCGCACAAGCGGUGGAUGAUGUGGAUUAAUUCGAUGCAACGCGAAAAACCUUACCUACCCUUGACAUGCCAGGAACUUGCCAGAGAUGGCUUGGUGCCCGAAAGGGAGCCUGGACACAGGUGCUGCAUGGCUGUCGUCAGCUCGUGUCGUGAGAUGUUGGGUUAAGUCCCGCAACGAGCGCAACCCUUGUCGUUAAUUGCCAUCAUUUAGUUGGGCACUUUAACGAGACUGCCGGUGACAAACCGGAGGAAGGUGGGGAUGACGUCAAGUCCUCAUGGCCCUUAUGGGUAGGGCUUCACACGUCAUACAAUGGUCGGUACAAAGGGUUGCCAAGCCGCGAGGCGGAGCCAAUCCCAGAAAGCCGAUCGUAGUCCGGAUUGCAGGCUGCAACUCGCCUGCAUGAAGUCGGAAUCGCUAGUAAUCGUGGAUCAGCAUGUCACGGUGAAUACGUUCCCGGGUCUUGUACACACCGCCCGUCACACCAUGGGAGCGGGUUCCGCCAGAAGUAGGUAGCCUAACCGCAAGGGGGGCGCUUACCACGGCGGGGUUCGUGACUGGGGUGAAGUCGGAACAAGGUAGCCGUAGGGGAACCUGCGGCUG